CACGCUGUAAACGAUGAGUACUAGCUGUUGGGAAGUUACGACUUUUCAGUAGCGCAGCAAACGCACUAAGUACUCCGCCUGGGGACUACGGCCGCAAGGCUAAAACUCAAAGAAAUUGACGGGGGCCCGCACAAGCGGUGGAGCAUGUGGUUUAAUUCGAUGCAACGCGAAGAACCUUACCUACCCUUGACAUCCUGGGGACCCUGUAGAGAUACGGGGGUGCCUUCGGGAACCCAGAGACAGGUGC
rnacentral:rRNA from 1 species